UAGGGAAUCUUCGGCAAUGGACGAAGGUCUGACCGAGCAACGCCGCGUGAGUGAAGAAGGUUUUCGGAUCGUAAAACUCUGUUGGUAGAGAAGAACGUUGGUGAGAGUGGAAAGCUCAUCAAGUGACGGUAACUACCCAGAAAGGGACGGCUAACUACGUGCUAG
rnacentral:rRNA from 1 species